rnacentral:rRNA from 1 species
UCUGGUUGAUCCUGCCAGUAGUCAUAUGCUUGUCUCAAAGAUUAAGCCAUGUCUAAGUACAACCUUAAUACGGUGAAACCGCGAAUGGCUCAUUAAAUCAGCUAUGGUUCCUUAGAUCGUCUCAUCCUACUCGGAUAACUGUGGAAAAUCUAGAGCUAAUACGUGCUUACAAGCCCUGACCUCACGGGAGGGCGCAUUUAUUAGAUCAAAACCAAUCGGGGCUUGCCCCGUCUGCUUGGUGACUCUGGAUAACUUUUGUGCUGAUCGCAUGGCCUCUGCGCUGGCGACGUAUCUUUCAAGUGUCUGCCCUAUCAACUUACGAUGGUAGGUGAUAUGCCUACCAUGGUUAUAACGGGUAACGGGGAAUCAGGGUUCGAUUCCGGAGAGGGAGCCUGAGAAACGGCUACCACAUCUAAGGAAGGCAGCAGGCGCGCGCAAAUUACCCACUCCGGCACGGGGAGGUAGUGACGAAAAAUAACGAUACGGGACUCUUUUGAGGCCCGUAAUUGGAAUGAGUACACUUUAAAUCCGUUAACAAGUAUCUAUUGGAGGGCAAGUCUGGUGCCAGCAGCCGCGCGGUAAUUCCAGCUCCAAUAGCGUAUAUUAAUGUUGCUGCAGUUAAAAAGCUCGUAGUUGGAUCUGAGGACUCGAAUUGGUGGUGCACCAUACGGUGUUACUGCCGAUUCGGCCUACCUAGUCGGCUCGCUCUUGGUGUUCUUAAUUGAAUGCCCUGAGUGCCCGGCAAGUUUACUUUGAAAAAAUUAGAGUGCUCAAAGCAGCCAUUAGCCGGAAUACUUCAGCAUGGAAUAAUGGAAUAGGACUUCGGUUCUAUUUUGUUGGUUUUCGGAACCCGAGGUAAUGAUUAAGAGAGACAGACGGGGGCAUUCGUACUGCGGUGUUAGAGGUGAAAUUCUUGGAUCGCCGCAGAGACGAACAAAUGCGAAAGCAUUUGCCAAGAAUGUUUUCAUUAAUCAAGAACGAAAGUCAGAGGUUCGAAGACGAUCAGAUACCGUCCUAGUUCUGACCAUAAACGAUGCCAACUGGCGAUCCGAGAUCGUUUUGCUUAUUGACCUCUCGGGCAGCCUCCGGGAAACCAAAGUUUUUUAGGUUCCGGGGAAGUAUGGUUGCAAAGCUGGAAACUGUUCAAUUGCAACUCUGCCUCCUGUGACACCAAGUGGUCGGUUACUUGGUCUGUUCUGGCCCGGAGUCGGUAGGGUUUCCGGCCUUGUGCUCUUUCCUUACUGUUCUCUGUAACGCCGAAGGCGGGGCUUCCACGGUGGGGAAGCGGUUGUACAAAUCCGGCAAAUCCAGCAAAUGGGUUCCGGACUCUGUCCAACCUGCAACUGGUAACAGCCUCGGCUGGCUAACAUUUGAGCUGGGACUCGCUUGGGAGGAGCGAGGAUAAUAUAAACCUCUAUGUGACUGAGGUGAGGAAUCUGGUUCUCGUAAAAUGGCUGGAGAUCCCGAGCCUGUAAGUCAUAAAUUAGUUCCCCCACGAGGGAGGUGUCGAAUUGAAGCCAGUGCGUGCCCUUACUAGUUUAAGGGAUUGUAUACUUCCUUUGGUGUACCCACCUGGAAGUGCCCAAGGGUCCUAUCCCUGCACUCCAUCCCCGAUUGGAGUCAGGUGACGGCUCUUAC